rnacentral:rRNA from 1 species
GACGAACGCUGGCGGCGUGCUUAACACAUGCAAGUCGAACGGAAAGGCCCUGCUUUUGUGGGGUGCUCGAGUGGCGAACGGGUGAGUAACACGUGAGUAACCUGCCCUUGACCUUGGGAUAACUUCAGGAAACUGGGGCUAAUACCGGAUAGGAGCUCCCGCUGCAUGGUGGGGGUUGGAAAGUUUCGGCGGUUGGGGAUGGACUCGCGGCCUAUCAGCUUGAUGGGUGGGUAGUGGCUUACCAAGGCUUGGCCGGGUAGCCGGCCUGGGAGGGUGACCGGACACAUUGGAACUGAGAUACGGCCCAGACUACAACGGGAGGCAAGGGAGGGGAAGAGUGCACAGGAGGCGGAAGGCAAGUGUAGCAAAGCCGCGUGGGGGAUGACGUCAUGCGGGUAGGGAUGCGCUUUCGCUUGUGACGAAGCGUGAGUGACGGUAAUGGGUAAAGAAGCACCGGCUAACUACGUG